CCCUCGAACGCUGUCCACUUAGGCGCCAGGCCCCCCAGUGGUGGAUCAGCUUGCUUGGAGUGGACAUGGGGGACGCUGUCAGCAACAGUUCGUUCGACCAAGGUCGCCGGAGGCAGGAGGAAUUUCGCUUGACGGAGGUAGCAGCUCGCUUGACGCAGUUGGCAGCACUCCUGAUGCAAGUAACAGCACGCUUGACGCAGGUGACAGCACGCUUCACGCAGGUGAAAGCUCGCAAGAAGCAGGUGGAAGCGGACUUGAGACAAGAAGUAGCGGACUUGCCGCAGGAGGCAGCGGGCUUGCCGCAGGAGGCAGCGGGCUUGCCGCAGGAGGCAGCGGGCUUGCCGCAGGAGGCAGCGGGCUUGCCGCAGGAGGCAGCGGGCUUGCCGCAGGAGGCAGCGGGCUUGCCGCAGGAGGCAGCCGGCUUGCGGCAGGAGGCAGCCGUCUUGAGUCAGGAGGCAGCCGACUUGAGACAGGAGGUAGCUCGCUUGACGCAAGAGGGAGCUCGCUUGACGCAAGAGGUGGCUCACUUGACGCAAGAGGCAGAUCAAUUGAUGCAAGAGGCAGCUGGCGGGGAGCAGAGUCCAGCUUCGUGGGAGUAGAACGCCUGCCUCCCCAACAUGUACCCUGGGCCCCCGAGCAUGUACCCUGGGUCCCCAGCAUGUACCCUGGGUCCCCCAGCAUGUACCCUGGGUCCCCCAGCAUGUACCCUGGGCCCCCGAGCAUGUACCCUGGGCCCCCAACAUCUACCCAGGGGCCCGAUAUCUACUGAACCCCAGCAUCUACCCUGGGGCCCCAGCAUCUACCCAAAGGCCCUUAACAUCUACCCUAGGCCCUUAACAUCUAUCCGGGGGUCCCAACAUCUACCUUGGCCCUUCGUCACCUUCUUCCACUCAGCUAAGGGAGAAGUAGUCCUCCUACACUGUCGAGUCCCUGAGGUCAUUAGCCUCGUAUGGCAAGUGUCUUGUGUUGCUGGAGGUGUGUGCGCAUCUCUCAAGCAAGUCUGAACAUGUUAACUAUUGGAAGGGCAUAUGCAAGCAAUUGUGGAGUUUGGCGCCUACUGUAAAAUGUAUUCAUCACCCAGCAGGAGCAGCACCUGUCUCAACCAUCAUAGUCAGCUGAUUACAGAUUCCCAUUGCUAGUGAGGCUACCAGACUGAUUCCCAAGGCUAGUGAGGCUACCAGACUGAUUCCCAAGGCUAGUGAGGCUACCAGACUGAUUCCCAAGGCUAGUGAGGCUACCAGACUGAUUCCCAAGGCUAGUGAGGCUAUACCAGUCAGAUGGAAGAGGCCAGUGAGGCUACCAGACGGAUCACCAAAGAGGUUCCAGGGAUCAAUGGCCCCGUGGCCUGAUCUCCACCUCCCUAAGUCCAUAGACUAGGGUACGAUACGGUAUUCAGGUUUAGGUCCACCUUGAGCCAGGUGCUUGACCACUUUGUAUAAUGUUGAAGAAGAAUUUGGGGCUGGAAAAAUGUUGUUCUUGCCCAUUUGUAUAUAGGUCAGAGUUUUGUAUAUUUAGUGUUCACAUCGUUCAAUUUUCUUAGACCAGUCUCUUGUAUUACCUGACCUGACCAGUAUUAUCAAAUACUGGUCUCUUGACCAGUAUUUGAUGGUCACAUUAUCCUGAGGUGAGAGCCAACUAGUCAGCACAUUGUGUACGUAAGUAUAUAUAUAAUGCCAAAUAAGAUGAACUACCUUUAUAUUUUAAACGAAUAUGAACACUUUUAUUGACAUUUUUGUUGCCUGAGAAGCUUCACUCAUUCCUGUCAAUGUGAUGAAUAUUGUGAUGUAAAUUUAAAUGUUUAUAUAAAUCUGAAGUUACAUAUUGUGUUCAGUGAUCUGAUAAGCAUAGAAUACCUGCCAAAUGUGAGCAUUGAUAUUCUGAAAUGUGAUGAAAUUUUUACUGUACUGUAUGUGAAGUUUUACACACAAUGGAGCAUAUAUAUAAUAUUGACUCAACAUAAACAGUUUUUUGGCAUUGAAUACAAAAUUCAAACAUUCUCAGCCAGACGGUUAAGGGUCGGGUUAAAUAGCUUAAAUGUGUAGAAUAGUAAACCCCACAUUGAGUUAGGAAAAUA